UACGUAGGGUGCGAGCGUUGUCCGGAAUUAUUGGGCGUAAAGGGCUCGUAGGCGGUUUGUCGCGUCGGGAGUGAAAACACUGGGCUUAACUCGGUGCUUGCUUCCGAUACGGGCAGACUAGAGGUAUUCAGGGGAGAACGGAAUUCCUGGUGUAGCGGUGAAAUGCGCAGAUAUCAGGAGGAACACCGGUGGCGAAGGCGGAUCUCUGGGCCGUAACUGACGCUGAGGAGCGAAAGCAUGGGGAGCGAACAGG
rnacentral:rRNA from 1 species